GCCUCACAGCUCAAACCAAAUCCACCUUCAAUUUUCCGAUUUCUAUUUCUUCUCACACUACUUAUAUUGUAAUUUUAGCAGCUCCAGCUUUUAAUUAAACUGAAGUUGUUUCUAGCAUUGAAUGUUGGAAGGAGAGAGUUGGAAUUAUUGUUACAGAAAGAAUGACGGAGAAUCAAUAUUAUGCACCUUCCCAUUCGGAUCCAUCUCGGCCUUCACUAGGCUUCCCACUGGGCACUGCCCUCCUCUUGCUAAUCAUUUUCAGCUUGAGUGGAAUCUUUUCUUGCUGCUACCAUUGGGACAAACUCCGCUCUCUCCGUCGAUCUUUCUCCGACAGUACGGAUCUCGAAGCCGGUGACGACCCUUCUUCUUUGAAAUCUAAAGCCCACAUGAUAAGAUUUCAUCAACUCCCUCUUCAAACGACACAAAAUCAAUCGACUAAUAGCGAUAACUUCCAGUUUAAUUGGGUUGGCUCUAUAUAAAUCUUUCGUGUCCGUUUCAUUUUAUUGGAAUUCACGUCUAAUAAUCCAUUGCAAUAUAUCCUCUUUCUUUCUCUGGUUUGGGACCGACGGCUGGCAGAGUUCAUCUAGCUACACAUAAUAAAGUCCAAAUUACUUCCUCCGUUGAAUUGGAAGCAAAACCAAAUAUCAAAUAUGCCGGCAGUGUUGAUGCCUGGAGAUCAAGUACCAAAGUUCAUAGCAUUGCCAUGUCCAUGUCAGCCUCUCCGACCAGGAAAGGUAGUUGUAGAGAUGCAACCGCCGCUGCCGACUUCUCCUCCGAAGCCACUUCAUAUGGCAGUGGCAGUAACUUUCUAUUAGCAAAGCUACCACGAAAAUUUUAGAACUGGACUAGUAAUUGAUUGUGUGUAUAGUGGCAUAGUGGAAUAUAGUGAAUUGUAGUUCAAUCAAAUUCGUAAUGUUUUUUACUUGUAAAUAUUAAGGGAGAAAUUAAAAAAGAGCCAGAUUUACAACUGGUCGUUCAAAAAUA